GUCAUCGCUUAACUUACUUCACUUGACAACUGGACAUUUUCUGCUUGCUCCUCCAGAUUUAAUCUCCAUCCUCCUCCAUUCUAAUCUGUACUCUGGCCUUGAUCUUCUUUCGGGAUCCACAGAAAACUACCACUGGCACAUGGGGGAGUUGAUGGUGAUAAAUUCCAAGGUGGGGAAGAUGUUGAUAUCAGUCCUAUGUCAUGGAUGAGGAAAUUGAAGUUCACAUUUGUCGCUUGCUGAAGGUCACGUGACCAGAAAUGCAAAGCCCGAUCUGACUCAUAUUCUCCUAAUUAUAAAUGUUACGUGCUUUCUAUUACUCAGGCAUUGCUACUCUUUCGGUUGUGCCAGGAAUGGCAUAACCAAUAUUGUGUUUGAUUCUCACAGCAACCCCAGAAAAUGAAUGUUACUCUAAAUCUCAAAAUUAAGAAACUGCCUCAAAGAGGUUAGGUCAUUUUGCAUAAGGUCCCACAGUAAAAAGAGCAUUUAGCAAAUAAGUGGGGGCAAAGCUCUGCCCUUUUUGUUACUUCCGUGUUUCCAAAACACACUCUGGGGAUUUGAGGUGAAGAAAUGCCACAAUAUCCUAAUCCCUUUGAACAAGGUGAUCUUUACAUAAAGUUUGAUGUGAAGUGUCCUGAAAACAACUGGAUCAACCCAGACAAACGUUCUCAACUAGAAGAUCCGCUGCCAUCUAGAUCAGAAGUUUCUAACACAAUUGGAGAAAAAGUGGCGGUAGAGCUUCAGGAAUGUGGUAACACUUGAGGCUGAGGAGGUGGUCAGAGGCGUGAAGCCUAAAUCAUAGCUCUGAUGAAGAAAACAGCAGCCCUCAUGUUCCUGGAGGGGUGUGCCUGCCCAUCCGCAAACACUGCAAAUGAAUUGCACAGGAGGACUUUCCUUCCACACUUGCCUGAUUUGUUCUCAGCGAUCCCACUGGAGUGUCCCAUCAAUCCAGAUGAACUGAUGGACAUCCAUUGGUCUCUGCGUAACUUUUAAAAUUGGUAUAGUAUCUACAGCGUGUAUAAUUGAAACUAACCACAAAGCUUCACAUCUUCGUUUCAACUGUUCCGUAGCAGAAUAAAGCACUUGAAGGGAAAUAAGACUCCCUUUCACAUGUAGAUUAUAAGUUUCGAUCCUGAUAUCUGUGCUUGAUUUUUAUCAGUUUUGUGCAGACUUUAUGUCUCAUAUUUUAAAUUCAAAUCCCAUAUUGUAAAGUUUGUACAAUUUAUCCUGAAGCUUUGUGUUUGGCUGCACCUGAAUAAGCUGCUACAAAUAGAAGAAAGAAUCUCAUAGCCUGUAUCUAUCAUUUAGAUGUAUGGGAAAAAUAGGUCUUGCACACAAUGAGUUUGGAGCUGAGUAGGAACAAUGGAAAAAAAUGACAUUAGCUGUGGUUGUAAAGUUUUUUGUUUGUUUGUUUUUUACCAUCUUGUGAAAGGUUUCUGAAACUCAAUAACAAAAAGCAGUUGGUGUUUUAAAAAAGUUCUAUUCUUAGAAGCCUGAACAUUCUCUUCAAGAAUUUUUACAUUUUAUAUUUUUAAAGAUAAUACUUAA